GAAAAUGUGCGAGGACGGGACAACCGAGGAUAUAUUAGAGACAGGCAUGAUGGACACACCAAUGGUGGAGUCUGGUACACAAACCACUCUAACAAACAUCAGAUGCCUGAUGGCUUUUUUGAUGAUGGUCACAGGAACGACAGACACAUGACCAUCCUCUAGAGACUAGAUCUGACUAGAUGUUGGACUUCACAGACAGCAGAAUCAUAAAAUCAUCAGCAUAUGGCACCACACAUCCCAUGAGAGUUUUGCUUCCUGUUUUUAUAGCUACUUACAAUUCAAAGAUUUUACAUUCGAAGCGUUUAGAGAAGAUCAUCUUGUGUGACACGUAAUGCUUCACAGAGCAUGAUGCUGUUAAACAAUUCAUCUAAACCACUGACUUUUACCUCCCCACAGAGGGAAACUACUUAAACUCCAAAAUUACAUCAUACAGUGAAGUGUCAUGAAAUGGACUGGAACUAUGUGAUCCUUAUUAAAACAUCAAUCAGUCACUUAAUAUCAAAUUCAUAAAGACCUUGUGUGUAGUUGUCACUUAUCUGCGUUUCAUGCAUUUUAACGGCAC
rnacentral:lncRNA from 1 species